AGGGAUUGGGGCACGCUGGUGCACACCUCAGCUGUCUGCAGGGCGCACGGACGCUGCUGCCAAGUGAAGUUCGUGCUCCGUCAAGCGCUGCCGGUGAAUUCGCACACUUUCUGCUUGCUGCAGCUCCCGGGAAAGUCAACCCCCUCCGUUCCAGACGUGAGAGGAGUUUUCCCCUGGUUCAAGGACUACCUCCGAGAUUUUCGUUUCAAGAAUCUUGGGUUUCAGUCCCGACACAGUUUGGCACUGGUGGGCCAAAGAGUCAGAACAACUCACACCAGAAUCCAGCCAGGCAAUCACCUGUGGUAAACAAUCUCCAAACACAUUCCACACGUGAGCACAGCACAGGAGAAGCCAAUGAGCAAUUAAAAUAAUUACACUCUGUCAAGCUACAUCUUUUCACCCUGAUUAAAGACAGAGCUGUAUGGAGCAAACACAUCAACUUGUCUGCUGACAGGUGAAAGAAGAAUGCAGAGCAUGUCUGAAACCAUACUGAUAACUUCCCAUUGAGUAGUACACAGGCUAAGAAUUCAUCCUGUAUGCUUCUUCUAGAAAAUAAACACUUUAUUAAGAAAAU